rnacentral:misc_RNA from 1 species
AACGGUCUAUACCUGCGGUACCUGCGGAGGGAUCAUUAUCAAUUUACAGCGGACUUCGGUCCUGUCUGCACCCUUGUCUUUUGCGUACUAUAUGUUUCCUCGGUGGGCUUGCCUGCCGAUAGGUCACUUAUAAACUCUUUUGUAAUUGCAAUCAGCGUCAGAAAACUAUAAUAGUUACAACUUUUAACAACGGAUCUCU